UAUAUAUAUAUAUAUAUAUAUAUAUAUAUAUAUAUAUAUAGAGGGAAGGGACUGUGAUGAAUGCCUUCUCAUUUCUCCAUUUUCCUCCUUGGAAACAAAUUUCUUUCGUUUCUAUGCUAUAUGUCAAGAAGAAUUCUUCUUUUCUUAGUGAUUCAUAUUUGGUCUUAUUCA